UAGGGAAUCUUCGGCAAUGGGGGGAACCCUGACCGAGCAACGCCGCGUGAGUGAAGAAGGUUUUCGGAUCGUAAAGCUCUGUUGUUAAGGAAGAACGAGUGUGAGAAUGGAAAGUUCAUACUGUGACGGUACUUAACCAGAAAGGGACGGCUAACUACGUGCCAGCAGCCGCGGUAAUACGUAGGUCCCGAGCGUUGUCCGGAUUUUUUGGGCGUAAAGCGAGCGCAGGCGGUUAGAUAAGUCUGAAGUUAAAGGCAGUGGCUCAACCAUUGUAGGCUUUGGAAACUGUUUAACUUGAGUGCAGAAGGGGAGAGUGGAAUUGCAUGUGUAGCGGUGAAAUGCGUAGAUAUAUGGAGGAACACCGGUGGCGAAGGCGGCUCUCUGGUCUGUAACUGACGCUGAGGCUCGAAAGCGUGGGGAGCGAACAGG
rnacentral:rRNA from 1 species